CCAUGAGAUUCUCCUGUUGUCUUUGGUGCUCUUGACUUCUUUUGCAUUAUGGCAUCAAGAACCACUCUUCUGUCAGACAUGGUGAUGUAUUCCAGUAAUCCAAACAGCAGAACUACCCUCUCAUCAGGAAAGGCCAGUCAGUACCCUCUGACAGAAAGAAUGACAAGAUGAUGGAACAGAAGAUGUAGGGGACAGGGAUAUAAGUAGCUGUGUGGAAAGCAACACAUGUGCAAACAGGGAUGAUCACUGAGAAGUCUCUGCUCUAUAGAGUUGGCUCCUUUUAUUUUACUGUGCACAUUCACUGUACUGUUGCUCAGUGUGAACCAACUAGAGUUCAAAGAUGAGAGAAACAUGGCAAUACAGCAGAACUACCCUCUCAUCAGGAAAGGACAGUCAGUACCCUCUGACAGAAAGAAUGACAAGAUGAUAGAACAGAAGAUGUAGGGGACAGGGAUAUAAGUAGCUGUGUGGAAAGCAACCCAGAUGUGCAAACAGGGAUGAUCACUGAGAACCAUCAAAUACCACCCCUCAGAGCUCAGAGAACCCUGCAGAAGAGGAGGAUAAAGCGUGUAAGAGCCAGAUGGGAUAAUGAACACCAAGAAAUAGUAUUGUCUAAAUCAACAAGAGAAAAGCUCAUAUGAACUCACAGAGACUGAAGCAGCAUGCACAGAGUCUGCAAAGAGAGUGAAAAUGGAGUUAUAAAUGAAGGAAUGUAAAAAGAGAGUGUGUGUCUGCACAUGUGGAAGAUACUGCAGAAAAAGACUAGACUAUUGGACAUGGAGGAGAGAAGAGCUGAUAAAUCCAAGACUGUGAUACAUGUUCAUGAUGGACACAGAGAUGCAGGUAGCCUCCCUGGUGAUGUGAGUAGCAGUCCAGUCAUCCUUGUUCCACAUCUAAUAUCCUGCUAUGAGCAAACUCUCCAGCAGUGCCCCAGCCAGCUCCCCCAGUGCAGCAGACAGCAAGGACCAGGACCAGUGUUCCUGCUCUCACACCCUCGGGUCUAGCUCACUGAAACUCAGACCACCAAGGCCAGCUCUACAGUUUUGUCCAGGUCUGUAUGUGCCCAGCAGCAGCAUAGCCCUCAGGCACCAAGAACGCCACAGGUGAAGACCCAGAUCCUUGGCAUCAGUGUGGCCUCUUGUGGCAACACAGGCCAAGGGCAUCAGCACAGACUCAGGCUGCAGUAGGACCAUAGUCCCAGACAUGGUCCUUGGCAAUAACCCAGGCUCAGAUGUCAUCAUGGCCCUAGCUGGCCUUGCAGUUAGAAGAGAUGGGCAUGGCACAAGUUCUAGCAUGUCUCCCAAAUGCCAACAUGUUCUAAGGUAGCAGCCUAGACUCCUGGACAUCCACUAAGCCUUCAAUGGUAAGAAGAGCCACCGACAUUGACACAGACUCUGGUAGGGCCUUGGAACCAGACAUGGCAUACUUCCUUAGUUCAGGACUGGGUGACACCAUGGCCCCUGAUGGCAGUAUGGGCUAUCCAGGUGUGUAUGGCCUAGGUGACACUUGACCCUCUAAGACCAACAUGGUCUCAGGUGUUAGUUCAGACUUCAGAUCUCUGCACAGCCCUUAUUUGGCAACAGGAACCAUGGACAUCAACUCAGAGCCCAGCCACAGCAGGGCCAUGGACCCAGACAUCUCCUCUGGCAGCAGUUUGGGCUGGACAUCACCAUGGUUCUGGAUUUUGGCACAUGACUCCUGGAUUGACAUUCCCUGUGGAAGCACAUCCCUUGGACAUCAACCUGGUCACAGGUAGUGGCCCAGACUCAGGGUGUACACAGGGCCCUCUUUGGUAACAAGAGCCACAGACAUCAACACAGACAGCCUUAGCUGCAUCAGGGUUUUGUACCAAGUUGUGGCACUCAGAAGCAGCCCAGACCUGGACAUCUGAACCUGGAUGGCUGUAGGGCAUCUACAUCAGCCUGUUCCUCACUGCCUUUGCCUCUUCAAAUCUGCCUUUCCCCUCAUGAAUUGUUCUGUAUCUUACUGUCUCCCAUUUUGCCUACUAGACUCACUCACCAUAAGGAUGCCUGACUGCCUGGUGGGCAGGU